CAAAAACUAAAAUGACCAAAAUAGCACAUUUCUAAGUUUAUCAUUUGAAAAUUUUAAUUUUUUUAUUUUUCAAAAUUUGAAAUCUUAUCCCCAAAACCUCAUUUUUCAACUCUAAACCCUAAUCCCUAAACUCUAAACCCUAAACUCUAAACCCUAAACCCUAAACCAUAAACCCUAAACCCUAAACUCUAAACCCUAAACCCUAAAAAUUAAACCCUAAACCCUAAACUUUAAACCCUAAACUCUAAACCCUAAAUCUUAAACCCCACCCUUUAACUCUAAACCC
rnacentral:lncRNA from 1 species